rnacentral:rRNA from 1 species
CACGUAGUUGGCCGGUGCUUCUUCUCCAGGUACCGUCAAUUGCUCUUCGUCCCUGGCGAAAGAGGUUUACAACCCGAAGGCCGUCAUCCCCCACGCGGCGUCGCUGCGUCAGGCUUCCGCCCAUUGCGCAAUAUUCCCCACUGCUGCCUCCCGUAGGAGUCUGGGCCGUGUCUCAGUCCCAGUGUGGCCGGUCGCCCUCUCAGGCCGGCUACCCGUCACCGCCUUGGUAGGCCAUCACCCCACCAACAAGCUGAUAGGCCGCGGGCCCAUCCCCCACCGAAAAACUUUCCACCACCAACCAUGCGAUCAAUGGUCCUAUCCGGUAUUAGACCCAGUUUCCCAGGCUUAUCCCAGAGUGGAGGGCAGGUCACCCACGUGUUACUCACCCGUUCGCCGCUCGUGUACCCCCGAAGGGCCUUACCGCUCGACUUGCAUGUGUUAAGCACGCCGCCAGCGUUCGUCCUGAGCCAGGAUCAAACUCU